rnacentral:lncRNA from 1 species
UUCUAUCCCAAGGAAAUCAGGGCUCUGUUAAUAAGGAAGAAGAGAAUGAGAAGACAACUAACAAUCUUUGCUACAAUUGCUAAGCAAAAGGCACUUGAACACCUUCCACAGAAGAGGCAGACAUGAAAGAAAUGAAAGGUUCAAAAAUGGAAAAAUCACGGCAUAAAAGGUUGAGAGGAGAACAAUGCAACUGAACAAUGAAGAUAAAUAUAAAUAAUUCUUAAAUGUCUAGAUUCCUGGAAGAGGAGCAGUGUACCUUCUACAUAUGGCCAUGGCAGAGUAACUGGGAUCAGAUUUCCUUCCCAAUAUAAACAAUAAGAAAACUAGACGAAAGAUAUAAAACAACUGUUUUCAAACAUUGAACAACUGGCAGUGCAGGAUUGUGAUCCUUGUGAGCAGUGAGAGUUACCCGAAGCUCAGCAUCCGUGAU